CUAUGAGAGGAAACCUAUUCCUGACUGAUAUACACAGACUGAUAUGGUCCAUGGUCCCAGGGGAAAGCCCUUGGUUUUGUGGAGCCCUGGGACUGAACCUGGGAGGUCACUAUUGGAAAGUGAAUUGGCCACUGCAAGCCUCAGUUAACACAUGGGAGGAAACCGGGUGUGAAUCACAAACCAAUCAUAAACCAAAGAAAAGAAAGUUAUUGUUUAUCUCCCUUUCACUUCACUCUGUUAACAAAGAAUGCUCUUUCCAGCUGGUAGGUCAGAGGCAGAAUGGGAGAAGACAGUGGAAAUUCCCGUUCUGAGAGUCCAGCAUUGUUAGACACUGAGAGUUUGUGGACUUUCCAGCUUGGUUGGUCAUCUGACUUCAUCGCCAAGUCUGAGGAGCAAUGGGUGGAGUGUGUCUGGACUUGCCCUUCCAUGCUGAGAUAGUCAUCUGCUUCAAGGGCAGUGUCCAAACCUUUAAGUCCACAUAGAUGCUUCAGCUUUCCAGCUGCAAUGUCAGCCUUGGGUGAAGACUGCAGAAGGCAUCAUGGAGCAAGGACCAGGUAGGGUGCCCGGACUGAUGCAGCCACAACUGGAGGAAAUAGACACUGCAAGGAUUCAGUGUAGUGUCUGGAGCUGAGGGAUCUGGAUGUGGAUCAACUUGCAAAGGGAUCCUGUAGACAGGCAUGACAGAAAGUGGACAAGAGGACCACCCUGACCCCAGAGACAUGAGGGCCUGUGGUUCACCUUGGAGUAUCAGAAAAUAUGUGACCAUUGGCAGCUGGUUUGUGCAGAAUCCCUGGUUACGCUGAGCCUCGAGGACUGUGACUGUCUUAUGUACCUGUUGCCCGUGGGGCCUGGAAAAGGAAAAAAAUCAUGGGGGUGUUAGAAUAGAAGCAAGACAAUGCAUGCCACAUGCCACACGCUACAUGCCACAUGCCACACGCCACAUGUCACAGCUCCAUUGUUUUUGAAGCUAUUGUUUUCCUUUCUUAGCUUUGAGCCUGUCUAAUGUAUUAAACUUUUUUUUUUUCUCCCACAUGCAAGCCAUCAAGUUUCCUGUCCUCAGUGAGCUUGGAGUUAGUAAACCAAUUCUGAAGGAGAGGUGUUUCUGCUGGUGAGUCUUACUGUGAGCCAGUGUGGGACAGGAAAAGGACCUAGAGUUUUACUCUGAGAUGGGGAAAAUCACAACCUUGCCCGGCAUUCACCCGUUUCCUCUUCAGACAAGCAAGUCCCUUACAUCUUCUCCAUUUCCCUGGCCACCGUAUCACACUCAGUAGUGAUUCUCACAGGUGUGAAUUUCUGAGACUCAGGACAACCAUCCACUAUUUUCUAACUCUGGGAAUUCUGUGAAAACCACAAGCUAGAGACUUCCCUCCCAUGAUCCUCAGGGACCUUGACUCUCCGGGGAGGUUCACAAGAUUCCCGGGACUUGCUCUUCAAGAGAAAAUGGGCAUGAAGCAGCUGAAGCCCAGGGGCCUUAUGGAGACUGUCCGUUCUGAAAGCGAAGUGUGAGUCCUCUGGGAAGAAGCAGAUCCUUUAUGACUAACAUCAACACAAAUCAUUUUGAGUGGUUUAUACACCUGUGUGCAUGGAGGUGCACAAAUGUGCACAUGGGUGUACAGGCCACAGGACAGCCUCAGUGCCAUUACUCAGGAGCCAUCUUGUGUUCUGAGACUCUCACCAUACUGAGACAUGCCAAGAAGGCUAGGCUGGCUGGCCAGAGCCCCCAGGGUCUACUUCUGCCUCCAAGUGCUGGGAUUCGGAGCACACUCCCGCACACGCCAACCUGUGCAUUCCUUUACAUAUUAUUGAGUGCGGCUUCUGGGAAUUAAACCAGGGUCCUCGUGCCUGUAAGCACUUUACCUACUGAGAUGUCACCAGCUUCAAGGGACAUUCCCUCACCACAGAGAGAGUGAAGAAUCAGCACUUUGUGGCCUGGAAGACCUUCAAUGCUUAGGAAGCUGUAAAUGUUCAUGGUAAUGUUCCCACCCAUCUCUGGGGUGGGGGAAGCUCCUGAAACCAUCCUUGAGUUCCUUUUGUCCCCUGGGGCCUUAUGUGCACCUAGGCUCGUGAAUAUUUGAAUUCCCUUUCUCAUUUGUCCCUAAUUCUUGACUAACUAAACUUUUCCCAUUGUUCUUGGAUAUUGAGACAGGGAACACUGGGUCAGAUGGGAGUAAAGAUCAUAGGCCCAUAAAGCAGGAGCUCUUAUCACCAUUAUAAGGAUGCUAUCUUACAGUCACCAAGUGUUUUUAAUCCCAGGCUGACUUUGACCUUACAGUGUGGCCAAAGAUGACCUUGACUUCUGAUCUUCAUGCCUCCAGCCCUGGAGUGCUGGGAUUACAUGUGCGUGGCACCACACCAGUUUAUGUGGUGCUGGGAAAGGAACCUUGGGCUGUGAAUGUUGGGCAAGCUGUCUACAGACUGAGCGAUGUCCCCAGUUACCAAACUUCACAUGGCUUGUUCUUGGUGCUUUAUGCAUGUCAACACAUCACAUCUCCUAUCAGUGCUUUGAGGUUUGGGACUGCUGCAGUCGGUUUUUACAGGUGAGCAAAAGAAGGUGUAGUCGGAUUAAACAGCAAGCUUCAGGUCACCAAGUUGGUUUUGUUGGGCUCAGGAUUUGCACUCAUCUCACACCAUUGCUCUUGCUCUCUUUCCCAUAAAUACCUGGGCCUCAGAAGGCACAGGGUGCAGAGUGGCUUAUUUUUACCAGCAGUUUAUCUCCAUAGUAGAAGUGCCAUGAGUUUGUUAUUUCCCCUCUUUAAACCUGGAUCCCUGCA